rnacentral:lncRNA from 1 species
CCAGAAAUUUCUUUUAUUUUUUGGUAUAAAUCCAAAUGUCCAUUUGGCAUCAUUUUCCUUUUGUGCAAAAAAACCUUCCUUUAACGCUUCUUAAAAUUCUGCUGUUGAUUUUCUCUCAUUGCUUUUGGACAUUCUCUUUAACACUAGUUCUUAAAAUUCAAUUAUGAUGUGUCUUGAUAUAGUUUUCUUCAUGUUUUUUUUUCCUGCUUGGGGGUUCAUUGAGCUUCUUAGAUCUGCAGGUUUAUCGUUUUGUCACAUUCAGAAAAGUUUUAAUCAUUCUUUCUUUAAAUAUUUUUUCUGCUCCCUCUUCUGGACUCUGAUGGCACGUAUAUUAGGCAAUCUGAUGUUGUUCCUCAGCUUACUGACGCUUUGUUGGUUUCUUUUUUCCAGACUUCUUCUCGGCGCUGCAUUUUGAAUUGUUUCUACUAGUGUAUCUUGAAGUUUACUAAGCUUUUCUUCUGGAGUGUCUAAGAUGCUGUUCAUCUCGGCCAGUAUUUUUUCAUCUGUAGAAUUUAAUUCAGUCUUUUUUUAUGUUCUCCAUAUCUCUCCUUAACAUGCUCAUACAUUCUUCUACCUUUGUGAACACAUGGAGUAUAUUAUCACUUUUUAAUAUUCUGCUCCGCAUAAUUCUAGCAUCUGUAUCAUUUCUGUUUCAGUCAAUUUAUUUUUCUUCUUAUUCUGGGUCAUAUUUUCUUUUUGUUUUGUUUUGUUUUGUUUUCAGAAAGAGUCUCGCUCUGUCGCCCAGGUUGGAGUGCAGUGGCACGAUCUCGGCUCACUGAAACCUCCGUCUCCCGGGUUCAAGCGAUUCUCCUACCUCAGCGUUCCGAGUAGCUGGGACUACAGGUGCGCACCGCCACGCCCGGCUAAUUUUUGUAUUUUUUUGUAGAGACGGGGUUUUGCCAUGUUGCCCAGGCUUGUCUCGAAUUCCUGAGCUCAAGCAGUUCGCCCGCUUUGGCCCCUCAAAGUGUUGGGACUACAGGUGUAAGCCACUGUGCCCGGCCCUGGGUCGUAUUUUCCUGCCUCUUUGUAUGCCUGUUAAGGUUUGAUUGGAUGCCAGAUGUGGCUGGAAAGGUCACUCAUGAUUAGUUACUUCUACUAAUUCUCUGACUUCAUCUUCUAAUCUCCACCCCUCCCAGGUCUCUGAUUUUGCCACCCUGAACUUCUUGCACACUUCCUCGUUCAUUUGCACAUGCUGUCCCCUUUCUCUGGGGCACUCUUCCCUAGGCGGUCCCCAUGGGUUUCUCCCUAACUUCAUUUGGGUCUGUGUUCAAAUGUCACAUUACCAAAAACAUUCUAUCACCUUUCCUUGCUUUAUUUGCCUUUAAACAUUUAUAACCACUUGCCAGCCAUGUUACUUACUGAUUGUCUAUUUUUACCUCACCGCCCACCUCUGCUAAAAUGUACCAUGACAGCAUCACCGAGAACUACUGCCAUCAGCUAUAUAAUGAAACUAUUUUUAAGCAACAACAACAGCAGCAGAGAAGAGGGACCAACAGGGUCCAAUGCAUCAGAGGGGUCCAAACUGGUAAGCACUGAAAAAUAUCUAUUGAAUCGGACAAUUAGGAGGACUAACCUCCUCAAGAGUAAGUUCCUGCAGUUUGCUGGAUAAAGGGCAUCAGAGCGCCGUGGGUUGGGUUGAGGACAUCUUCUCCCUUACAGCCUCCUGGUUCUUCUCUCAGAAAAACUUCUCCUCCUUCCCAGCUCAAUCCUAUUUAUUUAUUUUAAAAUUUAUUGUGUAUAUUUAAGGUAUACAACAUGCUGUUAUAGGAUACACAUAGUUAGUAAAAUAUUUACUAUAGCAAAGCAAAUGAACAUCUCUGUCGUCUCCGCACAGUUACCCAUUUUUGUUGCUUUUGUGGCAAGAGCAGCUACAAUCUAGUCAUUUAGUAGGAAUCCCAAGUACAGUGCGAUUUUAUGACCUACAACCAUCAUGGUGUACAUUAGAUCUCUCCACACACCUGUUACAUUGUAUCCUCUGACCUACGUCUUCCCAUUUCUUCCUCCCAUUCCUCCCCAGCCUGCUUCCACCCCAGUAACUGCUGUUUUAUUAUCUGCGUCUGCACAUUUGAUUUUGUUUUUAGAUUCCACAUGUAAGUGACAUCAUGCACUAUUUUUUUUUCCUGUCUGACGCAUUUCACUCAGCAUAGUGUCUUCCAGGUUAAUCCAUGUUGUGCCAAACGACAGGACCUUCUUUUUAAAGGCUGAAUAAUAUUCCAUUGUAUACAGAUGCCACAGUUUUUUAAAUCCAUUCCUCCAUCGACACUUGGGUGGUUCCAUAUCUUGACUAUUGUGAAGAAUGCUGCGUGAAAAUAGAAGUGCAGGCCUGAGCUUUUGCUGCGAUCUCCAAAAAAUCAUUGCCAGUUGGAUGUGGUGGCUCACACUUAUAAUCCCAGCACUUUGGGAUGUGAGGUGGGAGGAUCACUUGAGUCCAGAGGUUCGAGACCAGCCUGGGCAACAUAAGGAGAUGCUGUCUCUACCAAAAAGGAAAAAGAAAAUGAAAAAAAUCAUUGCCAAGGCAACUGUCCAGGAACUUUUCCUCCAUGUUUUCUUCUAGGAGUUUUAUAGUUUCAGAUCUUGCAUUUAGGUUUUUUUAAAAAAAUCUAUUUUGAGUUGAUUUUUGUGUAUGGUGUCAGAUAAGGGUCUAGUGUCAUUCUUUUGCAUGUGGAAAUCCAGUUUUCCUGGCAUCAUUUAUUGAGAAGACCAUCCUUGCCCCAUUUUGUCCUCUUGGAGCCCUUGACAAAAAUGAGUUGACCAUAUAUGUUUGAAAUUAUUUCUAGGCUGUCUCUUCUGUUCCGUUGGCCUAUAUGUCUUUUUUUCUGUCAGUACCAUACUGUUUUGUUUACUAUGGUUUUGAAAUAUAUAGUAAUUUUUCACUAUAUUUUUAAAUUUUUAACUUUUACUAUAUUUUAAAGUAAUUGUUAAAUCAAGAAAUGUAACGCUUCAGAAUGCCUUCAGGAUGGCUAAUCAUUAACAGUUUUCUUUCAGAAACUGUAAGAAUUUAACACAAAAAGUAGUUUGGAAGCACACAUUAAGGAGUUACCGGAAGAAGUUUCUUUUCCUAAAUGUGCCUAUAGGACCAGAUACAAAUCCAGCCCUGAAUAAUAAAUGGAAGAUUUCUAUUUGUAUUUCUUUCUUAGAAUUGUUUUGGCUAUUUGGGGUCUUUUGUGGUUCUGUAUGAAUUGUAGGAAUUUUUUUUUUCUAUUUCCAUGAAGAAUGUCAUUGGGAUUUUGAUAAGAAUUGUGUCAAGUCUGUAUAUUGCUUUGGAUAAUAGGGACAUUUUAACAAUAUUAAUUCUUCUGAUCCAUGAGCACAGAAUAUCUUUCCAUUUGUUUAUAUCUUUUUUAGUUUUUUUAUUGAUGCUUUAUACUUUUCAAUGUACAGAUCUUUCAUCUCCUUGAUUAUUUCUCCCAAGUAUUUUAUUUUAUUUUAUUUUAUUUUAUUUUAUUUUUGAUGAUAUCACAAAUAAGAUUGUGUUUGUUAUUUCUUUUUCAGCUAGGUCAUUAUUUGUGUAUAAAAAUGCUACUAAUUGGGGCCAGGCGUGGUGGCUCAUGCCUGUAAUCCCAGCACUUUGGGAUGCCGAGGUGGGUGGAUCACCUGAGGUCAGGAGUUCAAGACCGGCCUGGCCAACAUGCUGAAACACCAUCUCUACCAAAAAAUACAAAAAUUAGCCAGGCGUGGUGGUGCAUGCCUGUAAUCUCAGCUAUUUGGGAGGCUGAGACAAGAGAAUUGCAUGAACCCGAGAAGCGGAGGUUCCAGUGAGCUGAGAUUGCACCACUGCACUCCAGCCUGGACGACAGAGUAAGACUCUGUCUCAAAAAACAAACAAACAAACAAAAAAGCUAUUGAUUUUUAAAAAAUGUUCGAAACACAUUUAUUUUCUAAAUCACCUGAAGUUGACUUAUAUAAGAUAAUUUCAACAAAUAAAAUGUUCAAUGAAAAAUUGUGGUAUGCAACGUACUUAUGUCAUUACAAGUUGA